CGAACGGGUGAGUAACACGUGAGGAACCUGCCUCAAAGAGGGGGACAACAGUUGGAAACGACUGCUAAUACCGCAUAAGCCCACGGCUCGGCAUCGAGCAGAGGGAAAAGGAGUGAUCCGCUUUGAGAUGGCCUCGCGUCCGAUUAGCUAGUUGGUGAGGUAACGGCCCACCAAGGCGACGAUCGGUAGCCGGACUGAGAGGUUGAACGGCCACAUUGGGACUGAGACACGGCCCAG
rnacentral:rRNA from 1 species